rnacentral:lncRNA from 1 species
CUUUCUGAGGCUGGGGUCUGUGGUUUCCUCCUGCGGGCCCCCGCAGGCAGCCUCUGCCCUCUCCCACAAUGCACUGCAGCAUGGCCACCCCUGAGUCUGUUAACAGCUAUGGAAUUGAAGGGCCCAGAGACUCUUGAGUACGUGUUUCCCAGAUUUACCACACACUCAGGAUUAUCUAGCAUGCUUUCACAAAGGCUAGGAUUCUGAACCCCUGUGCUUUGGAAACUCUCAUUCGGUAGAUGCCAUGUGGAAACUGGGAAUCUGUAUGUUUGACACCCCCCGGGGUGAUUUUUAGACUUUGUCCAGCGAAGUCCGUAUCUCCUGCCUUUCUUUUCUCCCAUGUAACUUGCAGAUAAGAAGAUUGAGCCCCGAAGCUCUACCAGCCUGGGCUUCGAAGCCUGCAGGAAGCCUCCCCAGCCACGCGAGUUCCAGAAACGCGUUCUGUUCAAAUUCCGCCCUCGGCAAUUUCAUUUACUGCCUUCCUACAGUCGUCAAUGUCACCUACUUUUAUCUCUGAACUCUUCUGUUGGUGAUCUGUGUGUCUCGUCUCCUCAAAAAGAUCUGGAGUGUUUUGAGGGCAGAGACCCCGGAUCCGUGGUCUUGGAACCAGGAAGCCAACCGACUCUCUCCCCGAAUAACAUGAUUGCUUUCAGGCUCAGUGGCAGGACAACGUGGGAACCCCAAUCAGACAGCCGGGGUCUGAAUCCUGGUGCUGCCUAGUUGCAGCCGUGGGAUCGCCCCAGAGUGGAUUAACGACUCCUCGAAGUCAAGAACCGGGUCUUAUGCUUCCCAGUGUCUCUCCGGGUUUAGAACAGCGGUAAGGAACCCGGGUUACGGCAUCACAUGGGCCUUCAUUUGAAGAG